rnacentral:lncRNA from 1 species
UGCACAUGUUGAUUCCUUAUGAUAGUGAAAUUGUGUCCAUACAACACUUGCACAAGGAAAAAUGGAGUUCGUGCAUGGUCCUUACCCAGACCCCUUGCUAUGGGGAAGCCUUUGGCUGUGAUGUAAAUAUUGACUUUAAUGGUAUUACUAUGUUGUACCCUUUCCCUUAAUCACUAUCAUUUUGGGCCUUGGGAGUCUUCCUUGGCAACUGACUCUUGUUUAAUUGCCACUGUUAAAGUACCACAUUUUUUUGUAAUGUGGCAGUUCUGUAGUUUUAGGCCUUGUGGCCAUUUCUCAAGGUGUCACUUGCUUCACUGCCUAGGAAGUUACCUGUUCAUAACUGACAGAGGAAACGUAGCUUCCGAGGCCUUCACUUUAGGGUAUCCUUUUCUGAGUCCAAACAUGAUCAUGAAGUAGAAACGCACAAUAGGGAAAAACUAGUGAAAUUUGGGGGAAAAAAAGUGUCUAGUUGAUAAUGUUAUUAAUGUUUCUUAGUUAUAAAAACAUACCACAGUAAUAUGCUAAUAGGGGAAACUGGGUGAGGAGUAUAUACAAACUAUCAUUGUGAUUUUUCUGUAAAUACACGCUCAAAUAAAUUUUUUUAAAAAGAGUACUCCUUUUCAUCUAUACUCUUCUGAAAAUUAAGCAUGUAGAAAGACAUGCUUUUUGACCCUCAAUUCCCUUGGGCACUGUGCAGUAAGCUCAAGUAGCAUCAUGGUAUCAGAGACUAAGGAGAAUAAAAAAGGAGGAAACAUAUUUCAGAUGGCACCUUUCUGCCAGGAGCGAUAAGUACCUGAGGAAGGUAAGCAGUGCCAGGGCCAGUCCCACAGCAACUCCUUCAUCAUCCCUCCCUUUUUCCUCAUGAGCUGCCCAAAGCAGCCCCUCAGUGUCUGAUGUGCCAGGCCUGGAGGUGCUGAUACGUCAUCUUUGCAGUGAUGCUACUCAAUGAACUGUUAACAACAGUGUCAAGGAAAUAUACCUGUCCUCUAAUUCUAAAGAUGCCAUCAUUCUCCCUCACACUAUCCUUGCCCACAAUAUAACAACGGAUGGGAAUUAGAGACAUUUUUCUCAGGUCAACUGAUUUAUUGCCCUCAUGCUCAACCUACCAGAUCAAACUUGCAGAAAGCAAGAUGCUCAAUGCUGGGAGAAACUGUUACUGGUCUAGGUUUUAAAAAUGAUCUUGUCUACUUUCUUUUCUGUGCUCAUCAAACUGUAGGCUAAAAUGAUGGCAAAUUAAUAAAAUCUUUCUUGGCUAAGAUUAUGCCACACUGUAUUGUUUUACCAAAAGUGAGUCUGCUUUUUUGUACCAGGACUGUACUUCUGGGACAAAGUAGCCCUUUCCAUUCCAAUUCCAAAACCUGCUGUCUUAGUUUGGUAGAAAUGCCACUGGUUUGCAAUGCACAGUGUGAGUAGGCAUCAUGAUGUUGGAGGAAAAUAUUCUGAACAGGAUGCUGAGGCUAUGUGCAUACAAUGGAGGGGAGGAGACGACUUACUUUAUAUUCACUCUGUGCAAAAUAAAUCAGUCGAGUGGGAUAAAAUAAAAAUAAAGGCCAAAAAAAAAAAA